UUCAUAAAAUUGUAGGUACUUUCAAGAAAUAUAGUUAACUACAAGAAUUAGAUUACAGUGAUGGUCAAAAGCAUUUAGAUAUUGCUUUGAAAUCUACAGAUAAGGUAUGGCAGUUUCAUUUUAAAGAACAAGAUGUUAAAGUUUGUGAUAAAAUUGUCAUCAGAAAUACUGUCCACUUCAGUAUUUACAUAGGAAAAUAUUGGAGGAUGAAGCUCUACCUACUGCCUCAGGUUAAUUUAAAUUCUGAAUUGCAACAACAGCAACAAGCAAGAAGGGCACCAUUAAAU